rnacentral:rRNA from 1 species
GACGAACGCUGGCGGCGUGCUUAACACAUGCAAGUCGAACGAAGUGGCGAACGGGUGAGUAACGCGUAAUCAACCUGCCCUUCAGAGGGGGCCAACAGUUGGAAACGACUGCUAAUACCGCAUACUGAAGGAGGGGAUUCCGGCUGAUUAGCUAGUUGGAGGGGUAACGGCCCACCAAGGCGAUGAUUAGUAGCCGGGCUGAGGGGACGAAUCGCCAAAUGUGGACCUAGGCACGGCCCAGAAUCCUACGGGAGGCAGGCGGUGGGAAUUCUUCGAAAUGGACGAAAGUCUGACUGAGCAAAGGCGCGGGAGUUAUGACGGCUUUCGGGUUGGAAAGCUCUGUUAAUCGGGACGCGGUACCGGAAUAGAAAGCCACGGCUAACUACGUGCCAGCAGCCGCGGUAAUAC